AUUGAACGCUGGCGGCAUGCCUUACACAUGCAAGUCGAACGGCAGCACGGGUGCUUGCACCUGGUGGCGAGUGGCGAACGGGUGAGUAAUACAUCGGAACGUACCUUAUCGUGGGGGAUAACGCAGCGAAAGCUGUGCUAAUAUCGCAUACGCCCUGAGGGGGAAAGCGGGGGAUCGAAAGAACCCGCCCGAUUAGAGCGGCCGAUGCCUGAUUAGCUUGUUGGUGGGGUAAAAGCCCACCAAGGCGACGAUCAGUAGCUGGUCUGAGAGGACGAUCAGCCACACUGGGACUGAGACACGGCCCAGACUCCUACGGGAGGCAGCAGUGGGGAAUUUUGGACAAUGGGGGCAACCCUGAUCCAGCAAUGCCGCGUGAGUGAAGAAGGCCUUCGGGUUGUAAAGCUCUUUUGUCAGGGAAGAAACACCGGCUCUAACACAGUCCGGGAAUGACGGUACCUGAAGAAUAAGCACCGGCUAACUACGUGCCAGCAGCCGCCGUAA
rnacentral:rRNA from 1 species